rnacentral:rRNA from 1 species
UUAGUUCGUGGAGUGAUCUGUCUGCUUAAUUGCGUUUCAAAUUUUUAACCGAGGACCGGGUUUUGGUUUGGCUAGUGGUCCUACGAUGACUGUGAACUGUCAUGUCUUCGGAUGUACGACUAUCGGUCUAGGAUCACAUGACUUGCCCCUGGGACUCUUUUGAACGCAACGGACGUGAUUGCAACCCCUUGUUGAGAUUAGAGAUAGUCUCGAUAUUCACUGGCCAAACUGGCUGCUUUAUGCAGUCUUGUUGAAUGGUGGAUAAACUCGGGGGACUGCUGACUAUAACCAUUUCUCAAAACAGAGGAAGGUUGCGGCAAUAACAGGUCUGUGAUGCCCUCAGAUGUCCCGGGCUGCACACGUGCUACAAUGAGUGGCGCAAUGUGCUAAUGUUUUAAGGGAUAAGCGUGCGGCCAGUAGAACGUCGGCAAUUGCCCUGGCGUCCUCUACCGCACGAUUAUCAGCCUUCCCUUAACAGGGCGGGCAACCUUUUCAAAAUACCGGUUUGAUGUUAAAGUAUAGAGUCGUUUUUUUUGGAUGGUGGUUUACGAACCAAUACCAUCCGCAACUGCUCGCGAGUUUGUGGUUCUGGUGACUCA